rnacentral:rRNA from 1 species
UACGUGGGGCGCAAGCGUUAUCCGGAAUUAUUGGGCGUAAAGAGCUCGUAGGCGGUUUGUUGCGUCUGCCGUGAAAGUCCGGGGCUCAACUCCGGAUCUGCGGUGGGUACGGGCAGACUAGAGUGAUGUAGGGGAGGCUGGAAUUCCUGGUGUAGCGGUGAAAUGCGCAGAUAUCAGGAGGAACACCGGUGGCGAAGGCGGGUCUCUGGGCCGAUACUGACGCUGAGGAGCGAAAGCGUGGGGAGCGAACAGG